rnacentral:rRNA from 1 species
AUGGUGUCAAUACUUGCAGAUGCUCAUAUGCUCAGCCAAGCUGAAUCAUUGCUUCUCUUGCUGGAUGACAACAGGGCUCUGACCGAUGCUAGUAGACUGUUCAGUCAGAUUACCCAGAUGUAUUCAGAAGCUGGCCACCUCGACAAAUCAGUGGCGCUUUUUGAUCGUGCAAGGUCUAAGUGUUUGAUUCCUUCAGCCUCAUGCUAUCAAGUACUUCUAAAUCGUCUGGUCGGAAGGAGAAAAGAGGAGUUAGUAUUAAAAGUAUAUGUGGACAUGCUUGAAGUUGGAUUAGGCUCUUGCACAGAAGGAGAUGUUCUUGAUUUUGUCAUCAGUGCUUUAGUCAAGGGAGACAAAUUCUUACAGGCUAUUCGUAUAAUUCGGCAGCUAAAGAGCUUGAACAUUGAAAUAAGUAAGGGAUCCUUGUCAACUGUCGCAAAAGAAUUUUGCAAGAAGAAGGACAUUGGUGAUAUGAUGAAUUUCUUGGAAGAGUGGAGGUAUUUACCUGAGCUGCGUCUUUGCAAUCGAAUGCUUGCGUCUUUGUGCACAAACCUUGGUACUGACGAGGCAUGGUUUGUCUUGCAAAGAUUAGAGUCCUUAGGAUUUGCCCCAGAUGCUACAACCUUUGGCAUUUUCAUAUGCCAUAGCUGUAGAGAAAUGAAACUCAAAGCUGCAUUCCUCUAUUUAUCUGAGUGCUUUUCUAGACAUAUUGAACCUAAAGUUUGUGCUUAUAAUGCUAUUAUAGGUGGUGUUUUCACAGAGGGAUUGUACAGACAUGCGAAAUAUAUCCUUGAAGACAUGAUUGAAAGAAAAAUAAUGCCAGAACUUUUAACAUACAGGAUACUUCUGGCAGGAUAUUGCAAGUAUAGGCAGUUUGAUGAUAUAGAACAUAUCUUGAGAACUAUGGAGACUAAUGGUGUAAAUGAUCUUCCAUCUGGAAAUUGUGUGCUCUCUAAGGCCUUAUCCUUCCUGGGGCUAGACCACUUAGGAGUGAAGGUUAAGAGAGAUAACGCCGCUGGCUUUCCGAAAGCUGAGUUUUUCGAUUCAGUAGGCAAUGGCCUGUAUUUGGACACUGACACCAAAAAGUUUGAGAUUUCGUUGGUGCAGAUUCUUGAUAAUGCUCUGUACCUAGAUAUUAACUCGAAGAUAGUCAGUGCGUGUCAGCAAGGCAACGUUGCAAGUGCUCUUCUGCUGAAAGAUGAAGCUUUUCAAUGGGGACAUUACAUUUCACCAGCUAGCUGUUUGGAACUAAUCAAGUCCUUGUGCGCAAGUCCUGUGCAUGUUAUGGAUGUUAUUGACCUUAUGAAGGAAAUGCCAUAUACAUUUGAUAAAUUGGAUGCUCAAACUCUAAAUUUAGUCGUCCAAACACUGAGUAAGAAUGAGAUGUCAGCCCGUGCAAGAUUAGUUUUGGACAGGUUAUUCAGAAGAGGCUUGCCAGUCAAUCAAGAUACAUAUACUUAUUUGCUUAUAGGCUUCUGUACAGAAAGGAACAUCGUAGGGUUUUGGGAAUGUUGGAAUGUUGCAACAAAGUUUAGUUGGUCUCCUGACAAGAAGGAUUUGAUGCCCCUCAUCAGUCACUUGUGCAAAUGGGGAGUAGUGGAGGAAUCCUUGCAGCUUAUAAGCUCGCUGCUCGACUGCUAUCCAAAUUUGUUUUUUAGUGCAUAUUGUGCACUUCUCAAAGAGUUAUGCAGAACAGGUUACACUAAUGUUGGAUGUGCGAUGCUGGAGGCUCUCCUAGAAAAGGGUGUGGAUGUGGGCCGUUCACUGAUUCUUAAUGUGGCAGAGGGCUUCCUAACGGAACAGAAGACUGUCGAAUCGAUUGGACUGUAUGACAUCUGCCUUCACAAAAACAUUGUAUCAGCUGUGUUUACCCACCAAUUUGCAUUCUCUUCACUAUCAUGGUUUGAUGCAGAACGAUGCAAGGACUUGGUACAGUCUAUGCUGAAAACAGAAUGUUCUGAUGUCCCAGCUUUCAGCUGCAUUGUGAACGAAUUACUGCAUACAGGAAAAGUAAGCCAGGCAAUAUCAGUUGUUGAAGCAUCCACUUUAGGGAAGAAAUCAAGUGACAAAUUACUAAAUUCCAUCCUUCAGUCGUAUUGUUGUCUAAACAAUUGGAGAAAAGUAGAUGCAGUUCUUUGUAUCAUGCUAAAGAUACAUGCUAGCAUAUCUAUUUCUAGCUACCGCCUUCUUGUCCGCAGAAUGUGUGAGCAGAGUCAGUUUUCUAGUGCAUUAUACCUUAAGGAGCUGAUCCAAGACAGUGACAAGUCAAAAGACCUGAUUUUAUACAACAUUCUGUUAUUCUAUCUUUUCAAGAGAAGAAACAUUUUGCAGGUUCAGGAUUUGUUGAAGGAUAUGAAAGGUAACGGUAUUUCUCCAGACAAAACAACAUAUGAUUUCCUUGUUUAUGGGUUUCACAAGUCUGGAGAUACCGAUCGUUCAGUUACUAUGCUUGAUGCUUGCAUUACUCAGGGAUUAACACCAAGCAACCGCAGUCUCAGAAUAGUAUUGAGUCACCAUUGCAUGUCAGGGAACCUUGAGAAAGCACUGCAAUUAUUUCAUCUGAUUGAGGGCAGUGGAUGGAAGCAUGGUUUAGUCAUUGAGUUGACUAUCAUUUCAGCUCUCCUUUCAUUUGGAAGAUAUUCUGAAGCAAAAUCAUGUCUGAACAACCUGAGCAGAAGUGCACUAACUAUAUCUUACAUCAGUUUUGAUGUGCUAAUCAAGGAAUUCUGCAGACAGGGAGAUGUGGAUAUGUCUGUUAAUCUGAUAAAUACAAUGUUGAAGCAUGCUAGACUACCAAGUGAAGCUAGCUACAGCUCUGUCAUAUACAGGCUAUGUAUAUUAAAAGAAUUUGAUCGGGCGCUUGAUUUUCUUGCUGAGAUGCAGUUGGAGAACUUAAAACCAAGUGAAAUGGCCUGUGAUGCGCUCAUGCGUGGCCUUUGUGCCAUGGGAAGAACCAGUGACGCUAAGAAGAUUUUGGAAUUGCUAAAGACCUUUGGUUCUGCACCGUCGUUUGGCAUGUAUAGAACUGUUUUUGAUAACUACCGUAGGUGUAACAACACAUCGGAAGCCGCAGGACUUCUGCAUGACAUGCAGCAAGCAGGACACGUGCCCAACUUUGAGAUGCAGUGGUCUGUGAUAAGCAAUUUAAGCAGUACUGAUAGGAAGACUGAAGGAUAUGAACAACCUAUUUUGUCGAAAAUUAUUUCAUCCAGUCAAUUCCCCAUGAAGGAUAAUAGGAGGAAAUGA